rnacentral:rRNA from 1 species
UACGGGGGGGGCAAGCGUUGUUCGGAAUUACUGGGCGUAAAGGGUCUGUAGGCGGCCAACUAAGUCAGACGUGAAAUCCCCAGGCUCAACCUGGGAACUGCGUCUGAUACUGGAUGGCUUGAAUCCGGGAGAGGGAUGCGGAAUUCCAGGUGUAGCGGUGAAAUGCGUAGAUAUCUGGAGGAACACCGGUGGCGAAGGCGGCAUCCUGGACCGGUAUUGACGCUGAGAGACGAAAGCCAGGGGAGCAAAC